rnacentral:rRNA from 1 species
GAUGAACACUAGCGGCAGGCCUAAUACGUGCAAGUCGAACGGUGUCUUCGGACAUAGUGGCGCACGGGUGCGUAACACGUAUGCAACCUACCUUACAUUGGGGGAUAGCCUUUCGAAAGGGAGAUUAAUACCGCAUAAGACAGUAGCUGGGCAUCCAGCAGCUGUUAAAGAUUUAUCGAUGUAUGCUGGGCAUGCGUCCAAUUAGCGAGUUGGUGAGGUAACGGCUCACCAAGGCAAUGAUUGGUAGGGGAACUGAGAGGUCAACCCCCCCCACUGGCACUGAGAUACGGGCCAGACUCCUACGGGAGGCAGCAGUAGGGAAUAUUGGGCAAUGGACGCAAGUCUGACCCAGCCAUGCCGCGUGCAGGAUGAAGGCGUUAUGCGUUGUAAACUGCUUUUAUACAGGAAGAAACGACUCUUGCGAGAGGCAUUGACGGUACUGUAUGAAUAAGCACCGGCUAACUCCGUGCCAGCCGCCGCGGUAAGAC